rnacentral:rRNA from 1 species
UACGUAGGGGGCAAGCGUUGUCCGGAAUUAUUGGGCGUAAAGAGCGUGUAGGCGGCCAGACAGGUCCGUUGUGAAAACUGGAGGCUCAACCUCCAGACGUCGAUGGAAACCGUCUGGCUAGAGUCCGGAAGAGGAGAGUGGAAUUCCUGGUGUAGCGGUGAAAUGCGCAGAUAUCAGGAAGAACACCCGUGGCGAAGGCGGCUCUCUGGGACGGUACUGACGCUGAGACGCGAAAGCGUGGGGAGCGAACAGGA